rnacentral:rRNA from 1 species
UGAGGAAUAUUGGUCAAUGGGGGCAACCCUGAACCAGCCAAGUCGCGUGAAGGAUGAAGGUCUUAUGGAUUGUAAACUUCUUUUAUACAGGAAUAAAUUGGGGGACGUGUCCCCUUCUGCAUGUACUGUAUGAAUAAGGAUCGGCUAACUCCGUUCCAGCAGCCGCGGUAAUACGGAGGAUCCGAGCGUUAUCCGGAUUUACUGGGUUUAAAGGGUGCGUAGGUGGGCUUAUAAGGCAGUGGUGAAAUCUCCGAGCUUAACUUGGAAACUGCCGUUGAUACUAUAGGUCUUGAAUUAUCUGGAGGUAAGCGGAAUAUGUCAAGUAGCGGUGAAAUGCUUAGAUAUGACAUAGUACACCAAUUGCGAAGGCAGCUUACUACAUAUAAAUUGACGCUGAGGCACGAAAGCGUGGGGAUCAAAC